rnacentral:sRNA from 1 species
UCGUCGAUCUGCUGCGGGCAGAUGAAAUGGAUGUGCGUGUCGAUGCCGCCGGCCGUGAUGAUACUCCCCUCGCCCGCGAUGACCUCGGUGCCGGCGCCGACGAUCAUCGGGUUUUUCUUCUUCGUGCGCGGAUCAACGAAAAUCGAACCCAGGCCGCUCUGGAUGCCGGGAUUGCCCGCGUGGCCGAUGCCGACGAUCAGACCGUGCUUGAUGCCGAUGUCCGCCUUGAUGACGCCGAGGAUGGGAUCGAGGAUCGUGGCGUUGGUGAUGACGAGGUCGAGGGACUCGGCGUCGGUCGCGGUGGAGGACUGGCCCAUCCCGUCCCGGAUGA